GCCCUACGGGGAAAGGGGGGGAGUCGCAAGACCUCUCACUAUUAGAGCGGCCGAUAUCGGAUUAGCUAGUUGGUGAGGUAAAGGCUCACCAAGGCGACGAUCCGUAGCUGGUUUGAGAGGACGGACCAGCCACACUGGGACUGAGACACGGCCCAGACUCCUACGGGAGGCAGCAGUGGGGAAUUUUGGACAAUGGGGGAAGCCCUGAUCCAGCCAUUCCGCGUGUGCGAUGAAGGCCUUCGGGUUGUAAAGCACUUUUGGCAGGAAAGAAAUCGCAUCAAUUAAUACUUGGUGUGGAUGACGGUACCUGCAGAAUAAGCACCGGCUAACUACGUG
rnacentral:rRNA from 1 species